rnacentral:rRNA from 1 species
UACAGAGGGGGCAAGCGUUGUUCGGAAUUACUGGGCGUAAAGGGCGCGUAGGCGGCCUGUUAAGCCGGACGUGAAAUCCCCGGGCUCAACCCGGGAACUGCAUCCGAUACUGGCAGGCUCGAAUCCGGGAGAGGGAUGUGGAAUUCCAGGUGUAGCGGUGAAAUGCGUAGAUAUCUGGAGGAACACCGGUGGCGAAGGCGGCAUCCUGGACCGGCAUUGACGCUGAGGCGCGAAAGCCAGGGGAGCAAACGGG